AGUGAACGCUGGCGAUAGGUCUAACACAUGCAAGUCGAACGGCAGCACAGUAAUAGCUUGCUCUUACGGGUGGCGAGUGGCGGACGGGUGAGGAAUACAUCGGAAUCUACUUUUUCGUGGGGGAUAACGUAGGGAAACUUACGCUAAUACCGCAUACGACCUACGGGUGAAAUCAGGGGAUCUUCGGACCUUGCGCGAUUGAAUGAGCCGAUGUCGGAUUAGCUAGUUGGCGGGGUAAAGGCCCACCAAGGCGACGAUCCGUAGCUGGUCUGAGAGGAUGAUCAGCCACACUGGAACUGAGACACGGUCCAGACUCCUACGGGAGGCAGCAGUGGGGAAUAUUGGACAAUGGGCGCAAGCCUGAUCCAGCCAUACCGCGUGGGUGAAGAAGGCCUUCGGGUUGUAAAGCCCUUUUGUUGGGAAAGAAAAGCAGCAGGUUAAUACCCCGCUGUUCUGACGGUACCCAAAGAAUAAGCACCGGCUAACUUCGUG
rnacentral:rRNA from 1 species